UAUAUUUUAGUGUAAGAAGCACGAAGAGGUUUGAGCUCUUAGGGCUUAGUUUAAUUCUGAGAAAUAUAA
rnacentral:tRNA from 1 species